UACGGGGGGGGCAAGCGUUGUUCGGAAUUACUGGGCGUAAAGGGCGCGUAGGCGGUUCGCUAAGUUGGAUGUGAAAACUCUGGGCUCAACCCAGAGCCUGCAUCCAAAACUGGCGGGCUAGAGUUCUGGAGGGGGUAGCGGAAUUCCUGGUGUAGCGGUGAAAUGCGUAGAUAUCAGGAGGAACACCGGUGGCGAAGGCGGGUCUCUGGGCCGAUACUGACGCUGAGGAGCGAAAGCAUGGGGAGCGAACAGG
rnacentral:rRNA from 1 species